rnacentral:lncRNA from 1 species
GAGAAAAGGACAGUUAGUGCCUGGACCAGGACCAUUACACUGGGGACCGGCUUCUCUGCUCUCCCGUUAUGGGGGUCGGGGGAAUGAUGGGUCAAGAGUCUUCCGAAGAAAGCGAGAAAGGAACAGGCGCCUUCAAAAGCCCACUUGGCGAUGGGUUACAGUAAGAGGGCCCCUCCAGGUUCAACGGUCUCCGAACCUGUAGUCACCCACAAGAGCGUGCCCUUUCUGCCCGCCCUUCCUAGCGUUGCUCCCUGCUUGGCUGAGCACUGCAGAGUUUCACGCCUCUAAACCCCGCCUCUUCUUGCAACCUGUGUUGGCCUCAUCUACCCAGCAACUGCGACGUCACACGACCUGGGCCUCCCUGAAUGGGAGAUAUUUACUAGGCAAUCCCGCCUACUGUUCUGAGGUUUCCCCUCCAGAUGCCGCUUCAGAGCCAGGCGAGCCAGGAAGGACCAGCGGGCGAGGUGUUUCAGAGUGCUGGCCACACCAAAGCAUCAGCCCUGGCUCUAAACUCCGUUACACUAAGGAAUUACAAAUCCUGUGUUUGUACUCCAGGAAGUCUGCAUUAUCACGAGGAGCUUGGAAAGGAGGUAACACACUCAAUGCAAAUUUCAAGUAACUCAUCCUGGAGGCAGCUGCCUACUCUGCAGCUGUGGUUCUCCACCACAGAGAGAAGAAAAGGGAGGGAGAUGGAGUGCGCAGGUCUGAGAAGGCUUUCAUUCUGGAGCAUCUGCAGGAGCCUGCACCAUGGCCCAGUAGCACCCCUUUUUCUCCAUGAGCUGCUGGUGGGUUCCCCCCUCCCGGAUAGCGCCUCCUUCCAGAAAGAGGAUGUGGUCAGCCUGCUCCACCAGGCUGAGGUGCUGGGUGAUGAGAAGCACUGAGCGGGAGUACCGCUCAGGGCUUUCGUACAGGAGCUGCUCCACCUGAGGAAAGACAUCGGACCGUCAGAGCCGGGGA